CCUACGGGUGGCAGCAGUGAGGAAUAUUGGUCAAUGGGCGGAAGCCUGAACCAGCCAAGUCGCGUGAGGGAAUAAGGCCCUACGGGUCGUAAACCUCUUUUGCCGGGGAGCAAGGGCGGGGACGUGUCGCGGCCCGGAGAGUACCCGGAGAAAAAGCAUCGGCUAACUCCGUGCCAGCAGCCGCGGUAAUACGGAGGAUGCGAGCGUUAUCCGGAUUUAUUGGGUUUAAAGGGAGCGUAGGCCGGUCUGUAAGGGUGCCGUGAAAUUUUGUGGGUCAACCAGGAGAGUGCGGCGCGAACUGGAGACCUUGAGUGCGCGGAAGGCAGGCGGAAUUCGUGGUGUAGCGGUGAAAUGCUUAGAUAUCACGAAGAACCCCGAUUGCGAAGGCAGCCUGCCGCAGCGUUACUGACGCUGAAGCUCGAAAGCGCGGGUAUCGAACAGGAUUAGAUACCCUUGUAGUC
rnacentral:rRNA from 1 species